GGCCAUGCAUGUCUAAGUAUAAACAAUUCUAUACUGUGAAACUGCGAAUGGCUCAUUAAAUCAGUUAUAGUUUAUUUGAUAAUAUCUACUACUUGGAUAACCGUGGUAAUUCUAGAGCUAAUACAUGCGUAAAAACCCGACUUCGGAAGGGUUGUAUUUAUUAGAUACAAAACCAACGCAGGGCUUGCCCUGGUUUUUGGUGAUUCAUAAUAACUUUUCGGAUCGCAUGGCGCAAGCCGGCGACGUUUCAUUCAAAUUUCUGCCCUAUCAACUUUCGAUGGUAAGGUAUUGGCUUACCAUGGUUACAACGGGUAACGGAGAAUUAGGGUUCGAUUCCGGAGAGGGAGCCUGAGAAACGGCUACCACUUCCAAGGAAGGCAGCAGGCGCGCAAAUUACCCAAUCCUGACACAGGGAGGUAGUGACAAAAAAUAACAAUACAGGACUUUUAAAAGCCUUGUAAUUGGAAUGAGUACAAUUUAAACCCCUUAACGAGGAACAAUUGGAGGGCAAGUCUGGUGCCAGCAGCCGCGGUAAUUCCAGCUCCAAUAGCGUAUAUUAAAGUUGUUGCAGUUAAAAAGCUCGUAGUUGGAUUUUAGGUUACGUUCAUUGGUCUGCCUAAUCGGUAUGCACUGGUGGGCGUUUCCUUCUUUCUGAAGACUGUGUGCGCCUUUAAUCGGGUGUGCAUAGGGUUCAGAACUUUUACUGUGAGAAAAUUAGAGUGUUUAAAGCAGGCGUUUGCUUGGAUAUUGCAGCAUGGAAUAAUGGAAUAGGAUCGCGAUCUUAUUUUGUUGGUUUCUAGGAUCGAGAUAAUGAUUAAUAGGGAUAGUUGGGGGCAUUAAUAUUUAAUUGUCAGAGGUGAAAUUCUUGGAUUUAUGAAAGAUUAACUUCUGCGAAAGCAUUUGCCAAGGAUGUUUUCGUUAAUCAAGAACGAAAGUUAGGGGAUCGAAGACGAUCAGAUACCGUCGUAGUCUUAACCAUAAACUAUGCCGACUAGGGAUUG
rnacentral:rRNA from 1 species